AUUGUCGUUCCAAGUUCCACAGCAAAAGAGACGAGAAUUUUAUUUUACAAGGCGAGAUCAUAAAUUUCUAUUUCUUUUUCCUCACCCCAGACUCUAUUUCAUUUCAUUGUCGUUCACAACUAGGUUUGAUAUUUUUCAUACAACCAUUAACUGUCUUAUCCAACUUUAGAUUUUGGAUUUGAACAAUCAUGUUGUUUACUCUCCCAAAUCAUAAAUCUACGGUUGUUAUUUUCCAGAGAAGAAGAAAUAAAACCAUAUUUUGGUUGCUCGCACCAAUAAUUUUUUCCUUCCUCUGAAACAUGAUUAUGAAGAGAUCGAAAGCUUUCCUUAAAUGAUGUAAUUGAGUUUCAAUUGUCACAAAAACCUGGAAGAUUGAUUCUAGACUUUUCAGUUUGCAAUAUAUACUUAAGAAUCUUGAUUUCUAAUAAUUUUGUUCUUUAUUUUAAACAUUUUGAUAAACCCUAAUUAUUGAUUUUUUUUCCCCAUGUUUCUAAUGUUAGGUCAUCAUAUGAUGUUCCCUUGAAGAGCAAAUAUCUUUUUAAGAGAAAUGAGCAAAAUCAACUUGCUUUUGCGUUUAUGGCCAUCAAUCGAGUAGUAUACGCCACAACCUGAUACGGGCCACGGUAUGUGUUAUGACUCAUGCUCUGAAUACCGGAACAUAGUUUCAUGAAGUUGUUCUCUCUGCAGCUCCUAAUAGGAAGAAAGGUUAUUCUCUCUUGCGCUAGCUCACUUUUUAUUCGUUUCACGGGCAUACCAUUUGUCAAACUUAAUUUACCAGGUUAUUUGCAUGUAUUCUAACAUUGCCUGAACCUUUGUACCCCAAGAUAUCAUUGGUGUACUAAAAAUUAUCACUAACGUCUACCAACUUCAGCGUCCUGGUGGCUACCCAGAUACCUGAGAUUACUAUUGAGAACCUCAGGGUACCAAAUUUAAAAUUAUUCUUUGUGGUGCUUCUGCGAAUCAUGUCAGCAAUGAUACAGUUAGUGCAGAAUCCAACCCAGAGUCUGUAGUGAUAGCCGCUCCACUUUUAUGGAAAUUAUCAAGUUACUGAGUGAGUGGUCAGGUGGCCUUUAUGUUUCUCCUACAAUAGCCGAGAGCAGGCAUGGGGGUUUCAGUACCGGAGCUUGGGAAGUAAUGAUGAGGCAUGGAUAAAAGGUUCUAGAAGAAACUAUCACCAAUACAUAUAAUAUUGAGUAGCAUUGUCAAGAUUCCGGCAACAAGGAAAUUAAGGUUGGUGCUCCCUGAAUAUGACAGUGGAACAAUGAUUGUGGUGUAUCCAGAGGUUCUCCUCUGACCUAUGUCGAAGGUGACUUAAAUUUAAAAAAGGGAAGAGAUCCAUGGUCUUAUGUGGUAAUGAUGAACCACUUUUGCAUAUAUGACCUUCGUACGGUUUGGGAAGUUACAUAUCAAACUCUUAACUUUCAAAAUGAAUCCACACAUGCAUAAAUUUCCGGUGAUUGUUAAAAUAAGUAAUGGUAGAUAUUACCUAACUUACUGUUUUAGACUAAAUUAAAGCAUUUAAGAUUGUGUUAUAUCUUUAUAAACAUGUUUCACAUAUACUGUUCUUUAAAUAUACUCCCUUAAGAAAAUAUUUUACAAAUUCGAUC